UUUUUUUUUUUUUUUUUGGGUUUAGGACCAAAAUUAAGUAGGUAAUUUUGUAUGUAAAGCAGUUUUCUGUUUUGAAUUCCUUUAGUUAUUGUAUGUUUUCCCGUACUACUUAAAGUAGAUUCAACAAUAGCAAUAUUUGAUCUUCAAAGAUUCCAAAUUUGUUGCACUGAAAGGGAAGUUUGAGUUUCUGCUAAAAAUAAAUAGUAAAAAGAGAAGUUUUGAGAUUUAUUUGGUAUGGGAAUUAAAUUCUGUAGGGUGGAUAGGAAAUCUAUUGUUGGAGGGGUGGAGAUAUUUUGGGUGAUAUAAGAUUUUAAGAUAAAUGUUUGUGCUGAAUGCUGAAGCAAGGGGAACUAUUUGGUUGCCUGCAGCAGUAUAUGGGAAAAAUUAGCAUUUUACAUGAAAACAAGAAAAAAUUGUAAAAUCCAGAUUUUUCUAUCGUUGUUGCAUCAGAUUACUCUCUUACAGAGCUUUCCUUCUUUUAUUUCCAAGUUCAGUUUUUGGUAGGUUAUUACUACAUCUUAAGAUAUGAGUAUCUUGGAGUGGUAUAGCUUCCUAUCCUCAAUUAGAUACUAAACUGGACAAAAGCUUUUUAAUUGACAAAUACCCAGCUCGGCAGGAAUGCAAAAGCUUAAGUCAUCCAAUUAGAAAUUAUUGUGGCAGUUUUAGCGUGACAACCUCACUAUGUGUUGUGGUUGUGCUCAUAACAGAGACUUUUGCAAGGGAAACAAGAAGGCAAUGUUGAUCGUCAUGAUGCUUACAUGGAUUGUCCAUUCAGUUCAAACACAUGCACUAAAAGUUUACUUCAUGUUACUGAGGAGCUUUUGCUUGAAAUGCCAUACAAAGGUUUUUUGCCUGAUGUCUCCACUCUGUCUACUUUGAUGCUGUGCUAUGCCAACAAAGGUUUGUUCUCUCAAGCACAGUGUAUUUGGGAUGAAAUGUUUAACAGUUCUUUUCUACCCAGUGUUCCUAUAAUUUCAGAGCUAAUUGAUGUCUAUGCAACCAGUGGACAUUUUGAUUUGGUGAGCAGAAUUCUGCAUCAAGUACGCUUGAGAAACCAUAUGAUGUUACCUGCAAUAUAUGCGCAGACUAUUUCUUGUUUUGGUAAGAAAGGAGAACUUGAGUUGAUGGAAAUUAUGCUAACAGAGAUGAUUGCUAUGGGAUUCUCGGUAGAUUCUGUCACACAAAAUGCUUUUGUCAUUUAUUCCAGCAAUUUUGGUUCAGUGGCUCAGAUGGAAGUUGCAUAUGCCCGUCUUAAGAGUUCAAGGAUUCUCAUAGAGGAAGAAGGAAUCAGGGCAGUUUCAUCUGCUUAUAUCAGGGAAAGGAAAUUCUAUAGUCUAGGGAAGUUUCUAGAGGAUGUUGGUCUUGGCAGGAGAAAUGUAGGAAACCUUCUGUGGAACCUUCUCCUGUUAUCCUUUGCCGCCAACUUCAAAAUGAAAAGCUUGCAGAGGACCUUUGUGAGAAUGGUGGAAGGUGGAUUCCAUCCUGAUCUGACUACUUUUAACAUUCGAGCUCUGGCUUUUGCAAAGAUGUCAUUGUUUUGGGACUUGCAUCUGAGCAUUGAACAUAUGCAGCAUGAAGGAGUUGUACCCGAUCUUGUGACUUAUGGUUGUAUAGUUGAUGCAUACUUGGAGAGAAGGCUGGGAAAGAAUUUGGAAUUUGCUUUGAGCAGAUUGGACACAGAUACUCCUGCUACGAUAUUGACAGAUGGAAUUGUUUUUGAUGCGAUGGGAAAAGGGGAUUUUCACUUGAGCGCGGAGGCCUUUUUGGAGUUCAAAGAUAAAAGGGAUUGGACCUAUAAGCAACUUAUUAAAAUAUAUCAAAAGAAAAAAUUCCGGAGUAACCAAGUGUUUUGGAAUUACUGAUGAAAUGUUCAAUCAAUAUGAUUUCAAUGCAACAAGCAGCUUAUGCCAAAAGGACAGCCUCUCACUUGAAUAGUGAGACAAAAAAACCUGGUGGGACUCUUUGGGUGGACAAAGAGCAUCAGCUACAGGUGAACAGAAUGUUGGGAGCAGAUGCAGUUUACUCCAAGAGUUGUUGUAUAUAGGUAGGCCAAGGCUGUAUUUUUUUCAUUUAUCUUUUCUGAAAAAAGUCCUUAUAUGCUUGUAUUUUCCAUAUUUAGGAUGUCAGCACAGAAGUUGGGAUGUGGAAAAGGACAAGUUUGGUGAGCAUUAGUUCAUAGCUACUUACCAAAGUUUGAAUGCAUGAAGGAGACAAGUAGUAGGUGCCAUGUCAUUUGGUAGGCUCUGCUUUUUUCUUCCGGUUUUAGAUAUGAAACCUUUUAUUUCUUUAUUUUUUUAAACUGAAAAAUGUUUUGGAUCAAGACAUAAACUAAAUGGGUUUACAGCAAAUCGAAAGAGUGGAUUGAAUAAGUACCCAUAUUUUUCAUUCUUGUUUUGCCACAAUCAUUUCAGUGCCAUCUUGCAUUUUGUUUGAUGUAAAUAGUUUGUUUCUCAAUUGAAACUGAUGAAGAAUGUAAAAAGAUGAAGAAUCAAGAGGAUGAAGCACAAGUAAUUAACCAUUGUCUGAUGAUAUAUGAACGUCAAGAUAUCCGUCAUUAGGAUCGCCACUUACACCCAGUGUCAUUUCUAUUCGGAUUUGCAGGUUUAGGAACAGAAAGAUACUGAUAAUGCGGCUGAAGAUGACUGUCGAAAGCUGUAAUCACCUCAUCCAAUCACCAAGCAGAAUAUGAAAAUCAGGCAACCAAUCAUUAAGAUCACCUUUUCAAUUUAGCUAUCCCAGCCAACCAAUGAUUAAAAUCACCAACAUGGCUGCCUCAGCUUCCUUUAUCUGACAUUGCAUGGCCAAUUUCUUAAGCAUUGUUGGACUAUUCUUUGGCUUUGCAAAUUUGUAUCCUUUUUUCUUCAGAUAUUGUUAGAGUACAAAAUCUUAAUGAGUUGCUGGAGUUUGUUGGAUAAUUUCUUAAGAUGCUAAUAACUUACUGCACAGUUGCUAUAAAUUUAGUUUAUGUCUUAUGACUUCAGUUAUAGCGUGGUAGGCUAUGCUUGCAGUCUCAAGGGGAUCUUUGCACCAUGCUGUGGUAUGGCCGACUAGCAACCAUGAAAAAAUCGAUGAAAUUUAUGAAAGAGGAAAAAGAGAAACAAGGAGGAGAAGUGUGCAAAUGAUUGUUGUUCCUUCAUCAAAUAGUCUUUUUCACUCGUUCCUUUCUCAGUCCUUCCCCCUCAAAUUCUGGAUAGAAUCUUGAGAUUACUAGAUCCACUUUCUCUGGUUUCCAGGUGCUGCUAUAACUCAUUGUUGAGUUUCUGUUGGAACUUCCAGAAAGAGUUUAGUUAAUGGAAAACCAGUAGAUUCCAGAAAAGAUUGUCUUUACAUUACUGGAGCAUGUUUGCUUCUUUGCAUGAUUGGAUAGUUCAGCAUAAUUGGAUAGUUAUAUGUCAACUUGGCUUUAAGUUUAGCUGAGAAUGUUAGGAACUCUUAGAAGUUUAGUUGGAUAAUGUUGUUAUUUAUGCCAAGCUUGUUUGCAAGGAAGAACACAAACCAAGACAUAUAGGCUCUGUGACUUGCAGAAAUUACUCUAGGAGAUAUUUCAGAUCUUGAGAUGAUACGAGUAAGAUCUUGUAACAUUGAAUUUUUCCUCAUCUGCGUUCCAAUUGAUGUAUUAGAAUGACUAAACCAAAUGGAUGUAUUGGAAUGUCUGACUCCAUUCCUAGUACUAAACCAAACGGAUGGAAUGACAGAUUCCAUUCCAAGCCCAGGAUGAAUGAUCUCAAAUCCGAAUCUGAUUCCAAUGUGCAAACCAAAUGCCACCUAAGAGGUUUGUUGAUGUUGCAGAGAGUCAUUUUCAUCACUCGAUAAUGUCAAAGACUCAGGCCCUCUAUAACAGCCAAAUACUAUGUAAAAUCUCAAUCUACUGCUUCCUGCAUGAGUCUAGAUUUUCUGAUCACAGGACCAAAUUCGAGCAUUGGAUUUCAUUUUUUCAGGUUCCCUUUUCCCUAAACGCCUUUCUCAGCGGAAACUAAUGCAAAAUUCACGUCUCUUGUUGUAGUUGCAUGACAAGCAUAACAUAGUAUGCGUUAACUUCGUAAUUUGAAUCUUUGCUUUUAAUUGCUUGGUUAUCGAGUAUGAUCAAGUUGAUGAGGGACAUUAAUAUUUCUCCAUGCAGUUCACUUUGACCUUUGCAGUAUGUUCUUGUGGAGUUUGAGCUUGAACUCAAGCAUGUUUUUUUUGAGCUAUCUCGUCAUUGUUCUUAAUAAUCAAAUCACUGUACUUUUUCCUUUAUACUGAGCUAUUCAAAAUGCCGCUGAGAGAAUAUCGUUUGAUCACUUCUGAAUUUUUUGUCAGAAGUGAUCAAACCAAAAAAUUGUUCGACAAGUAUAAGUUUUGCCCACUACCACGUGUAAAGAUGAAAUUGAAAAUCUAUUGCAAGUUGGUGUUGAAUAUUGUUUAUAUUGCAACUGAAUUUUUCAUGGAGAUUCAAACUCGUGAUGACAUUGGAGAUGACAAUAUCAAGAGUUUGGUUUAAGGGAGGCAAUAAGGGAAAUUAAACCAAACUGUAUUUGGUUUCUUAAUUCUUUUAGCCGUCUUGUUUGUUUAGUUUCCACAUCGGAUUAGGAAAUUUAAAAUCAGUUUCCAAGUAAAUUUCAAUUUACAAUUGUACUUGUUUAAUGAAAUUUUGGAGUCUAUAAAUACUAUCAGUCUAGUAGGUUAUUACUGGAAGAGUUGAGUUAAAUCGUAAGAAUACGUUUGAGAAAAAAUUUCACAGUUGAAAUUUGUAAGUGGUUUUGAGCUAAAGGCUAUGAAUUUAUAUUGUUAUUAUUGAGUUUUCGAUUAAUAAAUUAUUGAGUUUUGUAAUGUGUUAAUUGUCCUCCUCUUCCCACGUAUUUUUACACAUGCUAAAAUUGCUUCUGCCGUGCGCGCCUUUUUUUUUUUUUGCCAACACACUUUCUCUCUCUCUCCUCAUCGUUUCACGCUUUCACUUGUCAUUUAGUUUAACUAAUUGAACAUUUAGCCAGACAGAAAUGUGAAAAACUGGGAAUCGUUCAAAUGCAGAGAAUUGAAACACUAGAUUACUUGCAGAAAAUGGAAGUGAUGAAAGUUGCUGCUUCUAAAUCUUUUAGAGCAUACUAUGUAGAGGUAAACGGGAACUUGAAAUUCGAGUGACUUGGAAUUUAAAUAACUAAAAAUGCAGUCUUAUUACAUGCCUCUUGGUUUUACCAGACAAAAGAGACUUAAGGGAAACCUGGGCAAAAUGCCAGACUACUUAUCCAAUAUUCUUGGAAAAGAUAAUCAGAUUAGGCAACCUUGAAACACUAGACAACCUUAUAAAAAAUCAUCUUGCAGUCUAAAUAAAAUCAAACAAUGGUUUUCUGGUAGCCUUCAGCAUUAAGGUGAUCUCACAACCUUUUUUCUGAAUCUCUUCAAACAUACUGCUCGCCAACUUACUCAUUGAUCUCUAUCUGAAAAGGUUGGAGCGCUUGACCCAUUUGUUAGACUUUCACGUCCAGAUUGUUGCGGCUGAUCUUCACUCACCUGCAACAGGAUUUUCAACAAUGUAUUAAACCACACGAUUGAUUAUCCAAAAAGAUCAGUCUUUAGAAGUACUUGAAUUAUAAGGCAGCCAUGCAGUUUAUAGCUCUCCAGUGUGCCACAGAAAAAAUAGAUGGAUAUAAUGGACAGGGUAUCUCGUCAGCUUUCGGACAGGGUAGAGAUAUUCAAACAAUUCCAACGUUGUAUUGUCCGGACUCUUUGGAAAUAGAGACAUUUUGUUUGGUUUAUCUAGAAUUCAGCAAUUAUUUUACUUUGAAAAUUACCUGAGAGGCACAUUUUGGGGUUUCUCUCACUAGGGUUGCUGGACUAGGAAUGAUGCCUGACAUUCUUUCUUCUGCUAGAGUCCUUAACCUAUCAAGUUCAGGUAACACCACAGUACGAAGAUCUGGUCUAUCUUUACGCCUUAGUUCUGCGCAUUUAAGAGCUAACUUGGCAAAAUUCAGGGCCUCCUCUACUGGCCAGUCUGGAACAGCUGGGUCAAGCAUAUCAGCGAAUUUCCCCUUCUCAAUGGCCCUCUGAACAUGGUGAGUCAAACCCAUGGGAGGUUUUGCUGUAAUAAUUUGAAGAAGCAUGACUCCUAAAGAAUAAAUAUCGGAUUUUAUUCCAAGCAUACCAGUUUGCUGGUACUCGGGAUCUAUGUAACAGAAUGUUCCGGCUGUGGAUGUCAUAAGGUAUUGAGUUACAGUAUCAGCUACAGAAGGAGGGACAAGCCUUGCUAAACCAACAUCACCGAUCUUGCUUACAUAGUUUCGAUCAAGCAAAAUGUUGGCUGGUUUUAGAUCCCGGUGAACGAGUGGUUCUGGCUUUGUCUGGUGGAGGAAAAGGAGGCAAGUGCCAAUCUCUGCUGCUAUUCGGAACCUUAAUUGCCAGGGAAGCACUGGGGUCUGUCCUCGCCGGAAGAGACGAUCAUCUAAGCUCCCAUUUGGCAUGUACUCAUACACGAGGCAACCAUACUCUGGGCAUGCUCCUAGUAGGAGAACCAUGUUCGGAUGUCGUAUACAACUAAGAACUUCAACCUAUAUCAACAUAGUACAAAAGAAUAUGAGAAAGACAUCACUAGUGUGUUUCAGUAAAACUAUUUGUUGUAAUUUGAUUCCUUCAUAGGAUGUUAGUGCUUAAUUCUGGCAUUAGGGCCUGAAGAUUUAUUGAUUUCAUGCAUUAAAAUGUACGUACAGAUGCUGCAGAAGGUUGUGCAUCUUUAUCAAAAUUUGCUUGAAUCUGUUAUAUAUUUUCAGCAUGUUCGUAUUAUUUCAUUGGUCAGUAUAUGCAUUUUUCGUCCUUUUAAUUUUUGUUACAUAGCUGUAGUUGGAUGACUGAUGUUCUAAGGGUAGUCAAACAUGCCUAAGUAUAUUUAAGUCCCAUACCUCUUGCUGAAACUGUGCCCUUCCUUGAGAUGCGUCAGGACGUAGUACCUUUAUUGCAACAGGUGUAUGAUCUAGGUUACAUUUGUAGACUGGUCCAUAUCCACCUUCACCAAUUUUUCGAGACUCUGAGAAGUGAUCCGUUGCUGUUUCAAUUUCAUCUAUGGUGUAUCUCCGGUAUCUAACAUCACCAUGUGCUAGCGUAUGCAGUACUCUUUUUCUCUCCUCUUCUUCUCUGAGUGCCUUCAUUUCUGCAUUCUUUCUUUUUUGUGCUUCCAGUUCUGCAAUCCUCUGAGCUGCUUCAGCUGCCUCAAUGGCUACCUUACACUUGGCCUUUUCUUUUUCUGCAAUUGCUAGUGCUGCUUCCUCAGCUAAUCGUGCCUCUUCUAGCUUCUGCUGUUCCUCCAUUUUCCAACGUUGAAGCUCUAAUGCCUAGAGCAAAUAUUUUAAAUUUACUUUGGCCAUUUCCAAUUUGGCUGAUAAAAUUCUUAUAUCUUUGACUUCUUGUGUAUUUCGUGCAACGAAUGGAGAUCUUACUGCACAAGGAGUUUGAAAAUUUUGAAUUGCAAAAGUGCUCACCUUCUGUUUUGCUAAGAGUGCUUCUUUGCAUGCUGUGCUAUACAUCUCCAUUGUCUGCUUGAGCUCUUGCUUGAGCCUUCUCAUCUCAGCUUCUACAUCCUCCUGUGCGUAAGAUACGCAGCUUAAGCCAUUGUUUAAUAAAUGCUCUAUUUAUCAUCGUUGCUUUGGAAAGGCCUAUGUUGUUAGUGGUGCAUCUUCUAGUAACUUUGAAGGUCCUGAAAACCUUCAUCUAUACCCCUUACCCCAGAUAAGAUUCCUUACCUUCUUUGAAGAAGUAAAAAUUUUCUCUUGGUCAUAUCAAACCACUGAAAAUAAAAUGCAGAAACCACAGGAACGAAGGCAAGGGAAAAAGCAAGUGAAAGAUGUAUGUUUGGAACAUUACCUGAUGUAAAUGUGAAUUAACGUAGAGAAGAAACCUUAGUUCUUAUUCCUGUCUGGAGGGUUUAAAUCUCAUAGCGGAGUGAAUGUUCAAUGGCUUACAAUAUCACACUAUAUCAGUGUUCAGUAAUCGACUACCAUAUAAGAAAUUAGUUGGGAAUAUUUUGUGUUGGAAGUUAGGCAUUGUGUUAAUUACACAAAUUCUCUUUCCUAAAAGGCCUGACUAACAAUCUUUGGUCUUGGUGUCUUGCGAUCUUCAUAUGACCAAUAACACUGAUCGGCCUUUAUAGUAUUACCUGAGUAAUUUCUAUGUUUUAUGCUAUUACCUUGAACUUGUUACACAAAGUGUGAAUUAAGUAGUUAUUUUCCAUUAGUAAAGCAUUUCAAGUUUAAAUCAUGCUUAAAGCUUGAAGUGGUUUUUGUUGUCUGCCAAGUCUUUCACAAACUUGAAUUCUACUCCUGUACUACAUUGUUUGUAAGAUUGGCUCGGAAACUUCAUCUGUAAAUCUCAUUGGGUCACUAAUGCUACUUCUGUAUGGUGGAGAAUAUGCAUGUAAUACAAAUAAAUUUCUUUUUGUCCUUUGAAUUUUAUUUUUUUGUUGGAGAUUGAUAAGACAGUAAUCACUACUAACUUGGUUUCGCAAGACUACUUUAUUUUCGGUUGAUGAAUUAACAGUAUUGGGUAUCAAUGCGCAUACCUGACUCUGGCUGGAUGAUGACGACCAUGAUAUGCUGCCAUUUUCGUGUGUUCUGGAUGGAAAUGUACCAGAACUGCUUGUAUCAGGUGUCCUUGGCCCUGAGAAUGAUGAACCAAAAUUCGAUGUAUUCUCUGUUUCAGAGCCAUUUGAAAGACGAGGGGGAAAUGCCAUGUCCUGAAUGUCAGGUAAAGGGAACAAGUGGUCCAUGCUUGACCUGCCCGAACUGAUAAAUGAUAUGUCGCUAUCUGGCAGUGAGAAGUCUCCAGAAGACCUAUUCUGAGUUUUGCCUCUAGUAAAUGGUGACCUGAGCAAGGGUAGUAAAGUACGGUUACUGUAUGUCUUAGCCUUCAUUUGCUGGAAAUCAAUCAAAUGAUUUGUUUAUUCACUUUCAUCGCAUUUCUUUUGCAGGUAUUGGUUGAAAUGUGGGUUCCACACAACUUUUACCCAUGCAGAUUUAAGAAUUCUGAUAAAGGACCAAACAUCUUAAUGAUUUUGAAUGUGAGAUGCCUAAUACCGUCAUUCUGUUUGUUCCUUAUGUAGAAAGUGAAAAGCAGUCAUUUCUUGAUAUAUGCACAACUCACUUGAUUGAGUCCAUAUCUUCAGCCAGAGUUCGUGGGGCAAUCGGUGAUUUAUCAUGAGAAAAACCUGUUCAAGUUGAGUGAUGCAUUUAGUUCCUCUACCUGUACUAAAACCAUAAUUUAGACAUGGCGAAAUUGCAGAACCAGACCUCUUACUCCACUGCCAUGCAUCAGACGUGCAUCAGAAAGGACAGGAUUUGUCGUGCCUUGAUUUUGCCCUUGGCGAGGCGGUGGAUUUGGAACUGGACAGGAGGCAGCCCUUACUGAUGAGAGUUUUCCUUUUGAGAUGGUAAAAACAUUGCAAAAAUCUGGUGCCACCUUGGAAACAGUGGAAGCGACGUCAUUAGUCUUGAAUCUGCUGCGUCCAAAGAUUUGUUAGUAACGAGGUACAAAAAUAGCAUCACACUUAUGCUUCAUCAGGGGAAAAGGGAAAUAGCAACACUAAUGCUGCUAGUCGAGUAGUUGCUAGAUGAUAAUAUUUCUACUAUCUUCAUAUUGUUUUGAAGAAUGGUUGAUUCAGUUAGACCAUACAAGUAGAGUGAGAUUGAAUUAAUGGAACUUUUUAAUUUCUUUUGGUACCAACCCUGAAGUCACCUUCUUUGAACAUUUCUGCAGUGUGUGGUGUAGGCACCAGAUACAAGGUAAGAGUGAACUAUAUGGGUUCUAAUGCUUUCAACUGGCUUUUCUGACAAAUGAAAAGUAUUGCCUUUGCGUGUCUGCAUGCAUGUGCAUUGUGUGAGUGUUUAUGGUUAUAAAAAGCUCAUCAUGGCAUCUAUGGUUCUUGAUAUAGGUUUGAUUCUAGGAAUAGACCUGCAUUUUGAGGCUCUCUAACCAAAAUUGAAGUGAUUGUUAAUAAAAGAAAGGAAGAAGGAUCAAGUAUCUUGCAGAAAGUUACUUCUCUUAAAAGUUUCCAGCAUAGCUGAUCUUAAACAGAAACAGGUGUUCACAUCUGUAUGUAUCUCUGAAUUUAAUUAUUUGGAUAGUAAGAAAGUAGAUAAAUGGGGCAAAGAAGUAAUUUACCGAACAAAUGCACUCUUUGAUGGAGCACCAAGCACCAAAUUCUCAACGAAGUUUGCCCUGACAUAGUCACAUAUGCCUUUUGCUAUGUCCAAAUCCUCAAUCAUGACUUCAUUAACUCGUAUCUGUUGCAAGAUAACUAGUCAAAUUCUAAAAGCUUGCUACCUAAACAUAAAAAGGAAAUUUAUGUUGAUCAGGUAAAGGCAUCCAAGAGGGGUUUUGGGUUUAAAGAAUGGACUGAAAGAUAUCAUAUGUUGAAUCAGGGAACUUAGAUGUGGGUUUUUCAUAAUCUUUUUAAUCGAUGAUUCUUGAGAAUGAAUGGUUAACUUUCUCUCUUGGACACUUUUUGGGUUCAAUUACUAGGUCUUUUCUAAACUUAUGUAGGUAUUCUAUGAUUUACUUCUUUUUUUGCAGUACAUGAUGAAAUCCUAUUCUUUCUUUCUUUUCACUUCUUGUAGCAAGUCAAGAAAAGAAAUAAGUAACCAGCAUAAUUCAGAACUUCAAAAUAUAUAGCAGAUCUUACAUCCUUGCGAGUGCAGAAGCAGCGGAAGGGAAGGAACAACUCCUUGGAUUGGCCAUCAGCAUCUUUAUAUGAUCUUUGAAUGCUAUCAUUAGCAUCAGCAAGAGCAAUGUGGCUCACCACUGCAACAAUGAUAAAAAUUUUGGAAUUCCUAAUGAGAUUUUCCAAGAUGAAUAUCGAAAAAUCUUACAACAUACAAGCAUGAAACGUAUGCUUGCAUAUUCGUCCAGUAUCUGUAAACCCCCGAGCAGAAACUGUUACCAUGCUGCAGACAUUAUUAAUACAUGCAGAGCAGGUAUCUUUGAGUUUUAAGCAUUGUGUCCAACAGCAUAGUUUGGACUGCAUGAUUAUCAGUCAGAAUUAAAUGUUGAGAAUUGCUUGUUUUCUUUGGAGUAUUGACCAUAAGCUUAACUUUCUCGAGCUAUUUGCCUUAUUCUUACAUUGUUUCUCUGCAGUUUCACAAAUUUGUUUGAAACUGAUACUGUAUUGUACUUUUAUGCAGUUAGGAUUGCAGCCUUACGAGAUGAUGCAUUCUCACAAUAUGGACGUGAAAAGCUGGCAUAACAAAACAAUGAUGGACUGAUGGGUAGGUAUUUGUAUAGAGAUUCUAUUUCGAAUAAGUCCAUGCAUUGAGAAUUCAAGCACAUACAGAUACCAGAAUAAUUGUUUCAAAUGUUAUUGUGCAAACAAAAUCAGCAUCAGGGCAUUCGUUAUAGAAAGACUAAUAUGCAUUUUCAAUUAUUAGACACAUAAAUCAGGACUUUGACUGUAAGCAUCUAAUUAAUGCUGAAUUACAAACACCAAUAUGGAACACAAUAUGAAGAGUAGAAGAUAAAAAGAGAGAAUUACAUGAAGCAGAGGAAGGUUGUUUUUGUUUGACAUGAAUCAAUGUAACAUAUUUGCCUUUUCCCACAAGAUUAUCAACAGCCCAUUUCAAAGCAUAUUGGCUUCCUUUGUCUUUAUCUAUGGCCACGCAUACCAUUUCAGCAUUUCCUCUAGGAAUUGGCAUUUUGGUUCUGUAGCUAGGAUCAAUUCGAACACACCCAAACCCUUUGAGUUUUAUAAGAAUUCUUGCUUUUAUGCUUUUCUCAAAUGAGUUUCUAGACUUUCCUCUCCUUGUUUCUUGCAUUACCGAAGGCUAAACCAUUUGAAAAACCUCUUUUUAUAUCUUGGAGAGGCUCCAAGUGAUUUGGAAAUCUUAGACUCCUUUUUGACUCCCAAAGUCUCCUAGAUGACAAGAGAUAAUUCAAAGUAUUUAGUUUUGCUUCUGGUAUUCUUUUUUCUUUUUGAGAGAUGACAGCAAAGACAUUUGAAAGUCAUCCUACAUUCCAGGGAUUUCUCAUUCCUAUCCCCCCUUGAAGCGGUUGACCAGGGAAUGGUAGAUGAUCCACCCCAUAUUUCAGAAAAAAGAAAAGAAAAGAAAGACAAGUAGUAGUGAAAAGACCAGUUCUGCAGAGUUUUCUUUGCCUGGUCCAAGACCAAGCGUUGUAAAAGACAGACAAAGAUUGCAACAUUUUCUGAAGGACACAAGACAGGCAAGAUGCCUAACUAAUUGCCUAUUUUCAGAGGGAAAAAGGUUUCACCCUUGUCCUGGAAAAAUAGCCAACUAAUUUACUUAUCUCAGAAAGGAAAUACAACUAAUUUUUUCUCCAAUUUUCUUGCUAUACGACCCCCCUCUAGGUCCAAACAUGCUUUGUCUUUCCCUUCAAGGAAGCUUGAUGUUCAUUUCACACAGAAAAGGCAAAAUACCAUGGUAGGAGGAUGAACUCAAUUAACUACUUAUUUAUUUCAAGGGAUCAAAAUAAAUGAUCCAAGUUUGGAAACCUCAUCAUCAUAAAAAAAAAGAAAAAGAAAAAAAGAGUAUGGAAACCUAAACUAAUCAAUGCCAAAACUAGAAAAUUCAUGUGUCAGAAUUUUUCAUGAUCUUUUUUUUUUUAAAUUCUUUUUAGCGCUGUCAAAAUGUUAGCUCUACUACUUUGUAAUUUACUUGAUAAGUGGAUAUUCAUAGUUUGCCUCUGAUUAUAUGCUAGUGUAAUUGUGGUGUUUGUAGGAACUAAUGCAUCUUCGAUCUUUUCAUUUGCGUUUUGGCAUUAUAUCAAAUGAUAAAAGUACUAGAACAUUUCUUUGUGGCCAAGAUAGAUUUGUUCAAUGAGACAAAUCUGAUAUAACUGUCAUUCCCAUCCUUUCCAAUUUUCACAUUUUUGAUAAUUUCUUACUGCAAACUUUAAGUACUAUGGCAUGGUUAAAAAAAUAUAUAGAUUAAGAAAGUGGUUCCUUCUUAAACAUAGGCAGUCCUUUGAUCAACAUAGAGAAAAAUGUAUAAUCUCAUUUUAUUUUAGAAAAUGGAAUGUGACUAGAUUUAGACUUUUUUUUUUCUUUAGCUUAUUGAAAAGGGAAAAGCAGAAAAUUUGAUGCAUAUGCUGCACUUUUUCCUUUCUUUAUCUUUUUUUUUUUUUUUUUGGUUUUUCGUGCAAUAAAUUGGCUACAUUAAGAAAAUGUAAGAAAAUCAUGCUCAAUUAGCCAAAAAUUGUAUACAGCAAUAAGCCAAAACUUUAGAAAGAUAAAUAUGCAUAACUUGUCAUGAUACAACAAGUGUACAGAACAAAAAGAAUGUCAGCUUCUUGUUAACAAAUUACUCUAUGAUUAUCAACGAACUGGAGCUAGAUUGGAAAUGCUAGCAACUCUAGAAUAUACAAACCCUCAAAAUCUUGUUCAUUGGCAUGCAUUAAUCUGUUAACGAUUGCUCUAAGAUAAAUCCCAUUUUAUCAAGAAGCUUACAGUAUAUUGAAAACGGUACUAGACUAUAUACAUCAUGACAAGAACUAAUGCACUUUCCUGCCCAUUUUUCCAUUCUGAAAAAGGCCUUCCAAUUGAACUUCACCUUAAUGUAUAUUCUUCUUGUUAACAUCAUUGCCUUGUGAAGCCAAACCUUCCAUUCCCACUGUACCUCGAAAAAUCAUCCGAUUUGUGUCCAAGACUUCCUUUGUAUGACAGAAAAAGCUUUCCCACUUAACCAUUCAUUGGAACAUUAAUGAAGUCCUCAGAUAACCCCCUUGAUGAGCGCAUGUCUGUUUCACUGGUAUAUGAAGAGUGGAAAUCAUCAACAUCAUCUCUUUCCUUUAUCUCUUCAAUCCUGUCGACUGCCUCCUUAAUGUCCCAUCUCUUGUCAAUUUCAGGCUCACAAAGAGUCAGUGCUAUCUUUAGUAGCUUCAUCAUUUCACCUUCACAGUGCUUAGUUCCUUGCAUAUCUUUGUCAAAAACCUCAACGGUCCACUCAUCCUUGACAACAGAAUGCACCCAAGUCGCCAAAUCGGUGUCACUUCCCUUACCUUGUUGCAAGAAGUUUGAUGGAAAUUUUCCUGUGAGAAGUUCAAGUAUCAAUACACCCAAGCUCCAGACAUCAGUUUUCUUGGUGAUGCGGCCAUUUUGCUUGAAUUCAGGUGACUUGUAGGCUAUCAUUUGGUCCCGUGCUUGUUCCAAGUUGACUACUGGAAGUAGUCCGUAGUCGGUGAGCAAUGGCUCAUUGUUUUCGUUAAGAAUAACAUUGGAGGAUUUGAGGUGACCGUGGGGUGCGAUCAGGCUCGGGAGCGAAUUGUAGAGAUACAGAAGGCCUUUAGAUACACCUUUGACAAUCUUCAAUCUGGUAGGCCAAUCAGGGCUUGACAGACCACGAGAUUUGUUACCUGGAAAUACAAGUUUCUGCUGUUUAGACCUCAGCACACGGGUGGCUUGAUUUCCUUUUUUUAUUUUUUGGUUCUUCAGAAAUUACUUACAUUAAUAUCUAUUACUCCUCCCCGACUGAGGAAUUCAAAGUUAGGAAGGCAAAAUUGUUAUGCAUAUUUUUGGUCAUUGAUGGAACAGAAAAGGUAAAAACCACUUCUCAGGAAAGUAUUUUAGAUCCAACCAAAGAAGUCUAAUAUAGGGAGAAAUAAGUGAUCAACUAUGGCUAAAAACUGCAGAGAAAAGCAAUCUUCAUACUCAGAACUAAUAAAAGUUGCAUCAUGCAUAGUAAAUUUGAAUUAUGCAUACUUACCAUGAAGUUGAACAGCCAGGCUGACAUUUUCAACAUAGGUAGAAACUAUAAGUUUCUCCUCUUUCCUAUAGUAGAAGGCCACAAGUGGAAGCACAUUCGGAUGACUCAAUCUGCCUAACCUUCUCAUGUGCUCAUGGAAUUCUUCUUUGCCAACAUUGUUCAUUUGCCUAUACCUCUUCACAACCAUCACUGGUCCUGUAUUAAGGGCAGCUUUAUAGGUAGAUCCAAACAUUCCACUCCCUAAUACCUCAGCAGAGGCUUUGAGUAGAUCAGACAUGUCGAAUUUUCCAACAUCAUCCCUCAAGAAUGAAAGCUUGAUAUUCUGAUCACUCUUCUUGCCUUCUGAACCGCGAUCUGGUGACAUCCCUUUUUCCAAUCUGUCCAAAUCUUCAGAGGGAGGUUUGUUGUGACCUUGUGGAGCUGCUGCAGCUGCUGGUGCAUCUCCCAGUUGAGGUGCUUUCUUGCGCCGGCUGAGGAUGAUUAUAACUGCAACAAUUGCUCCCAAAGCUACCACAACAGCUAUUGCAACAAGUACUAUAGUUACAACAGAUAGCUUUCGCUCUGGGGGACUAGGACAUGGUUCCAAUGGUGCACCACAAAGGUCUGAAUUAUCUGUUCAUCAGUAGAAUUUAAUCUCUUGUAAGUUAAUCUGACAAUACCACUUACUGAUGUAUAGAUUUCAUCUUAGGUAUCUCGCGCUAAUCUGUAGAGGCUUUUAUUUCUUAAUGUGAGACAGAAGAAAAAAGUAAAAGACCUAGAAAUCAAGAGGAAAAAAAAUAGAUCAUCAUAGUUAUAUGGUGUGGAAAGAUUUUCAAGAUAAAUAACCAAUUAUAAGCUUAAUAUCAGUUGCCCUGCUGGUAUUAUUUCACUUGGAUAUUUAAAUAUACGUAUAUAGUUCCAUCAUGGGACAAAGCUAUCCACUUGGUCGAAUUGUAGUAAUGCCAUAAACCUUAAGGAUUUAAUUCUUCAUUGUAGUUGUGACAAUGUUUGUAUCCUGUUUUGGGACUUUAUUAUGGUAUUGUCUACCACCAUCGUCAAGUUUUGAACAUCCUUCUGAAAUAGGAGGCGUGACUAUCAUAUUAUAACAUCAUGGUACCAUAUUAAAGACAUAAGAAAUCAUUGGAAAACAGUUGUGCUAUUAAAUAAACAUAAAACAAUUUUUGAGAAAGAGACUCACCAGAAAAUGAAGCUGCUUUGAGGUUGCUCAGGCUGGCAGGAAUUUGACCCCCUAGGUGGUUGUGGGAGAAAUUCACAUUAAUCAAUCCUUCUUGAGUAAAAUCGGGAAUUUGACCUGAAAACUGAUUGCCAUCAAGUGUCAACUCUAUAAGCUUUGGCAAUCUUCCCAAGGAGGAUGGUAUUGGCCCUGAAAGCUGAUUGUUACUCAAAUGAAUCUUCUUAAUUGACAGCAUGCCUACAAAAGCAUCGGCUGGAAUCUCCCCUGAAAAUUUGUUAUUCGACAAAUAAAUUGAUUUCAAGGCACCAAGUUUCUUCAUAUCCGGGAGAGGUCCUUCGAAAUCAUUAUUCAUGAAGCUGAGAGUCCUCAAACUCUUCAGCUGGCUAAGGGCAUCCUCAUUGAUAUCACCCUUCAACCCCAUAUUUUCAAGCUUCAAUCCCCAAACAUUCCCUUUAUCGCAAAGUACACCACUCCAAUUCGGCUGAUCACCCUUGCAUGAGGGUACUUUCGCGUCCCAAUUGGACAAUGCACCAGUAUUUUUCAGGGAAUCCUUGAACUGUAUAAGCAAAUCAGGCUCUGACAAACAGAUGCACGUAUGAACAAGCUGUAGAACAAUGGCUAGUAUGAGAAGACACCAUGAGGACUUGCAAAUCUUAGCCAUGGCGUGAGCAAAAUUGUAUCGUGACGCGCACUUGUGGUGUGCGCGCCCUUAGGGAGGGCUCCUGAGCAAAAGAUUGUCUUCUUUGUGUGCAGAAGGAGCUGGAGAAUGGAAUGAAGGUUGACAUGCAAAAAUGUAUGGGCAUAGGACCGGAAGGCAGGGAGGGGGAGGGAGAGAUAGUUGCCAAGAAUAGUGAAAGGCAGUGAGGAGCCGUGAAAACGCAUGAAUGGACAAAAAUGGAAAGAGGGCAUUUGUUGUUAUCGUUCAUGUUGACUAUGUCCUCUCUUUGCAUGCAUGGUGACAUGGGAGAGCUUUGCAUGAGAAAUUUGCGGUUUGCCUUUGAGCUUUGUUGAUGAAUAAAUUUUAUUCUUCAUUUUGUUCUCCCCCGUGGCUUCCCCCUUUUCAAUGUUAGUUGGGAUCAGAUUCACAGAUUUGUACAUAAUUUUCUGCAGUUCAAAGACUAACAUACCUUUAUUCUCCAACCAAACUACUAUUUCAAAUUGAAUUAUCUCAUAAAACUUAAAAAAGAAAAAAAAAUCAGAUGCAUAUAGUAAUGCAAAUAUCAUGUAAUUAGUAAGUCUUAAAUGGUCUUUGUUUGUUACUUUGUGUGCUGGUCUAGUAUUUGCCGGUGCCGUUGCUAAAUCGGCACAAUUUCCCCUUCAUGUAUGGUUACCUGAUGCCAUGGAAGGGCCCACUCCUAUUUCUGCUCUUAUACACGCUGCUACUAUGUUAAAUAAACAUAAAGUAGAAGAACCUAGAUUCCCAUGUGAUUUGCCAAAUACAUCUCAUUAUUGUAUACUCUUUCAUAUAUAUAUAUAUAUAUAGCGCAAGCCAAAUUUCCACCAUUUUCAAGUGUGAUUUCUAUGUUAUGUAUGGUCGUGUCUAAGGGCAUAUCGGUUGAAGUAGAUUCUUCUUUUUGAUCAAUCAAAGGAUCGGAAUCUUGGAGAAUACUUCUUGAUCAUUUCUACCAACUUAAAGCCCCAAUUUGAAUGAGUAGAGGGCUAUAAGAAUAAAAAAGUUAGCUAGGAGUGAGGUAGCACAUAAUUUUUUUCAAGGUUCCUGAUAUCUGCUUUAUCGAAAGUCACACUUAGAUAUACUUACUGAGAAACUAACCAGUGUGCUGAUAGAUUGACGAAACUGGGUGCUCAGCAAGAUACGAAUUUUGUAUGCUAUGAAAGUGUCCAAAAAUUUACUUCCCUCACUUUGUACCUGUAACUCGAGUUUUUUCAAUAUAUAAUUCCUUUUAUUACAAGAAAAAAAAAACAUAAUUUUUUUAAAAAAUUUAUUGAGAGCAUCAAAAUUUUCUUUUUUUUUUUUUCUCUUAUAGAACACCAAAUUAGAGGGGUUACUUGUAAGAAGCAGCAAUAAAUUGAACCUUUUGGUCUCUUUCCUUGAUGGUUUGCUUCAAUAUACUUUCUAAAUUGCUUCGCAUGAAUUAUUGCAUGCUUCAUACUUCCAAAUGAGAACAAGAAAGAUGGCUUUGGCAUACGUAUUUGAGAUGCCAGGCUUGGCAAAGACACUUUGAAUUGCUGCCUAGACGAAUAAUAUUAAGAUUUACAUAUGACCUGUUUGCAUUUGCCCAUGUCUCUCCAUUCUACUAUUUUUGUUGCUUUUUCCUGAUAUUAUAAUACAUUUCUGCAACAGAGUAAGCACACAAUAACAGAGGCUUUCAAUUAAAGUACGUAGCACUAAAGAAGUGAAAAACAAAUAAUUAAAAUUGAGGCAAAUAGUUACAAUCAUUAUUCAUUACAACAUAUUUGUACUCAUGCAAACCUCAAAUCAAUGUGUUUUCAUAUAUAGGGCAAGUUUUGGCUAACUUGGGUUACAGUUGCUUCUUUUUGUUGGUAGCUCCAUUUGUGAGAACAAAAAGUUUUGGCUGAAGUUGAAAUGAGGACCAUAAGAUUGACCAUCUUGAUUUGCCAAUUAGCUGGAAGAGGAUACCUUCCACAGUCCACUCUUUUUCUC
rnacentral:lncRNA from 1 species